AGAGUUUGAUCAUGGCUCAGGACGAACGCUGGCGGCGUGCUUAACACAUGCAAGUCGAACGAUGAACCGGUUUCGGCCGGGGAUUAGUGGCGAACGGGUGAGUAACACGUGGGUAAUCUGCCCCGCACUCUGGGAUAAGCCCGGGAAACUGGGUCUAAUACCGGAUAUACAUCGAUGGUCGCAUGGCCUGUUGGUGGAAAGCUUUUGCGGUGUGGGAUGGGCCCGCGGCCUAUCAGCUUGUUGGUGGGGUGAUGGCCUACCAAGGCGACGACGGGUAGCCGGCCUGAGAGGGUGACCGGCCACACUGGGACUGAGACACGGCCCAGACUCCUACGGGAGGCAGCAGUGGGGAAUAUUGCACAAUGGGCGAAAGCCUGAUGCAGCGACGCCGCGUGAGGGAUGACGGCCUUCGGGUUGUAAACCUCUUUCAGCAGGGAAGAAGCGCAAGUGACGGUACCUGCAGAAGAAGCACCGGCUAGCUACGUGCCAGCAGCCGCGGUAAUACGUAGGGUGCAAGCGUUGUCCGGAAUUAUUGGGCGUAAAGAGCUCGUAGGCGGCUUGUCGCGUCGGUUGUGAAAGCCCGGGGCUUAACCCUGGGUCUGCAGUCGAUACGGGCAGGCUAGAGUUCGGCAGGGGAGACUGGAAUUCCUGGUGUAGCGGUGAAAUGCGCAGAUAUCAGGAGGAACACCGGUGGCGAAGGCGGGUCUCUGGGCCGAUACUGACGCUGAGGAGCGAAAGCGUGGGGAGCGAACAGGAUUAGAUACCCUGGUAGUCCACGCUGUAAACGGUGGGAACUAGGUGUGGGCAGCAUUCCACGUUGUCUGUGCCGUAGCUAACGCAUUAAGUUCCCCGCCUGGGGAGUACGGCCGCAAGGCUAAAACUCAAAGGAAUUGACGG
rnacentral:rRNA from 1 species